rnacentral:rRNA from 1 species
AUGCUUUUUCUUAGAAGGCAACAUAGCAAUGUUGCUAACUCCUCUGCUCCUGUGCCAUACUCGGGGCAAAAGGAUGACGGUUUAGUCGCUGCCACAGAGGAAACAAGUAAAAUCAACAAUGUCCAGAGGAAGCUUGAGAAGCGUCAGCAUGGGCAGACACUAGAGGCACACAUUGAAGAGCAGUUCAACCGUGGAAGGUUGUUGGCCUGCAUUUCGCCCCCACCCUGGUAGUGUGGCAGAGUUGAUGGGCAAGGAACAUGA